rnacentral:rRNA from 1 species
AUGGCUCGCCCCCACCACCUGACCCUCCUCUCCGUCUUCUCCAUGCUGCUCCUCACGGGCCUUGUGGCUGCUGAUCUGUCCGGAGGGAAUAAAGUCGGGAAGAUUGUGACCAUGACCGUCCAAUACCCGGCCGCGGGCUCGCCGCCGGGGGAGAAGACCACGAUCUCAGCGCACUACGUUGACGAGCACGGGGGCGGCGACCGCCGCUUCAACCUCGACUGUGACGAUGACGAACCCUAA